UUGGCAAGAUACUGAGCCAGACUUGCUUGUUUGCCUGUAACUUUUCUCUCUCUGCUGUUUCCCCCUCUAGAGUGACACAGGAUAAGUAGGCCUCCAAGAUUUGCAAAGAGCUGUCAUCAUCCCCAAGCCCUCUUGGUGCCACAGUGAGCAGCCCUUCUUCCUCCAGCUUGUUUGUGGUAGAUGGGCUUUCCCGCACCGUCGGAACAGUGCCCUCUCCUCUGCAGCGUCUUCUCGAGCCUGGGUGCCUGCAUCGUGACUCUUGAUGAUGGUCCAGGGAGGAAGCUGAGGUGCCCAGGUAAAGCUGCAUCCCAAAGGGUGACUUGAAUACGGAUGGUAGUGCCAGUGAGGAAGCUGGAGUUGGAUACAUAAGAUCCAGAGGAGAACUCUGAGAUGGAACCACUAGAGAAAAGGGGAUGCCAUUCUUGAGUCACUGCAUUAGACUUCCAUCCGCAUUCCCAGCUGGACUAUGAUUUGGUGAUGGCUUCAUCAGAAUUGAGUGUUGCCUGGAGAAUGACUCCUCUUCCUCUGCUACCCACUGGCGGGUUCUGGUGAAGGCUACACUCAUUCCUUUGACUCUCUGCAUGGCAGAAAAGGGGAGGAAGACCACUACGAGCUAGAACUGAGGUACUAGAUACCGUGUUGGGCUCCAACCUGAUGCUAUAAUAAGCAUUGGGGAGAUUGGGGGUGGGGGUUGCUGGAGUAGUUGAUACAACGUGUUUCCUCAAGACCUCACCAUUACCUCUUUUGUCUGAAGACAACCGCAGC